AAUGAACGCUGGCGGCAUGCCUAACACAUGCAAGUCGAACGAAGGCUUCGGCCUUAGUGGCGCACGGGUGCGUAACGCGUGGGAAUCUACCCUUAGGUUCGGAAUAACAGUUGGAAACGACUGCUAAUACCGGAUGAUGACGUAAGUCCAAAGAUUUAUCGCCUAGGGAUGAGCCCGCGUAGGAUUAGCUAGUUGGUGUGGUAAAGGCGCACCAAGGCGACGAUCCUUAGCUGGUCUGAGAGGAUGAUCAGCCACACUGGGACUGAGACACGGCCCAGACUCCUACGGGAGGCAGCAGUGGGGAAUAUUGGACAAUGGGCGAAAGCCUGAUCCAGCAAUGCCGCGUGAGUGAUGAAGGCCUUAGGGUUGUAAAGCUCUUUUACCCGGGAUGAUAAUGACAGUACCGGGAGAUUAAGCUCCGGCUAACUCCGUG
rnacentral:rRNA from 1 species